CACGUAGGCGGAUCGAUCAGUCAGGGGUGAAAUCCCAGAGCUCAACUCUGGAACUGCCUUUGACACUGUCGAUCUAGAGUAUGGAAGAGGUGAGUGGAAUUCCGAGUGUAGAGGUGAAAUUCGUAGAUAUUCGGAGGAACACCAGUGGCGAAGGCGGCUCACUGGUCCAUUACUGACGCUGAGGUGCGAAAGCGUGGGAGCAAACA
rnacentral:rRNA from 1 species